UUAAUUUUUAACACAAGCAUCGUAAGGAAAAAGCAGAUUAUACAUUUGGCCAACAAACAUCUUGAAACGGUACGCAGAUUGAUUUUUUCCAAGAAAUACAGAGUAAAGAAUAUUGAAGUUCAGAACUAAAUAGAAAAGAUACUCAAAAUGGCACAGCAUGGACACGAAUUUGAGGCACGAGUUGGCCAGUACUUGAGAAACAAAUACGGAAGUUCACAAGUCCAGGAACAGGUAAAAUUGGGUAAUGGGCGAACUGCUGACUUUGUUGUGAAUGGUAACCAAGUAUGGGAAGCGAAGUCUUCUGCGAGGAUCGAUAAAGAACAUGUCUUUCAGGCGGCAAGUACGGCUAGGGGAUACGGAAAAGCUGUCCUAGCCAUUGGAGAAGAUGCAAGUGUUUCCGAUACCGUCCGCCAGUAUGCACAAGCUAAUGAUGUGAAGAUCAUCCCAAUGACAUUUAAUUGAUAAUUACAAUUAAUUAUGAGUUAACCAUGAUUAUGAAUUAUAUUUUUGAAAACUGGAAACAUAAAAUGACACUUAUAGUAGGCCUUGCCAUUGUCAUUCAGUUUUAAUACCGUUUAUAGUGCAUGGAGAACACGGAAUGUUUAUCAUUAUCAAUAUCUUUAUGUUUCAUAUCAUUAUUAAUACAUCCUUAUAAUUAUCAUCAUUGUUAUUGUUUACUAGAUAAAUGAGAUCAGAUAUAAAUCAUGAAGUCUAAUCCUGACCACGUUAUCGAUAAAGGCCUCUAUACCGGUAAUUCAGCGAAAUGAGCUUUAUAUUAUUGAACAUUACGAAAACCACCAUUUAAAUAGUUUUUCACAAAUUGAAACUUGAAAAUUUAAUAGAAAUAUUGAGGAAAUGCCUUGUCUACGGCGAUGGUUGAAUAAAGCUUAGUUACAACAGAAA